GCCCAAGUACAAGAAUCACUUUUUCGCAGUUUCACGAACAAGAUGGCUUUUGCCCAUCUGUCUCCUCUCGCUGUGGGUUGAAAGUCCCCGGAGCCUCUUUUACCUCGCCUAUACCAUCAUCAUGGCCAAAUUCCGAUUCUCUUUUCGUGCUACCCAUGAACCGUCUCGUGUCGCCAUAUCUUCUUGCUACUCUUCUUUGGCUUGCCUCUCGAUGAAACCUUCUUGCCAGAAGAGCGCUGUAUGUAAAAAUGCAGAGAGGCUGGUUGGUUAGUCGAGCUGGGAACGAAGACUGCGAACGAUGUGUGUGGGGGCGUUUAGUGUGGUGUAUCGUUUGCGAGGCGGUUUCCAGCUGUCCCUCUUUCUCGACAUGUCUAACUGCUCUGUCAGCCUUCGGUUUUUCCGGGCUGACAGGUAGGUGUUGUAGAGGGUCGAUUUUGGUACUCCCUGCUGGAGUCUACUGAUGUUAGGCGAAGAUAUGAGCCUAGUCAGACUACCUGGCUUCAGAAGGGAAAGACGAGACUGUAAAAGAUGAAAUCGAUGCGCUCAUAGGUAUAGUUAUGUGAUUGCCCGUUUUCGCUUUGCUCUUUGCAAGCGAGGAGGGUAACUUGAUGGGGCUUACUCUGUGUCUUGGG
rnacentral:RNase_MRP_RNA from 2 species